UUUCUUUAUCUCUUCUGUGACACAUACUAUAGACCUUCUAAGCAUUUAUGGAGAAAAAGAGUGGGGCACCCUACCCUGGUUGGUCCACUGAAUAUACAGGCAUCCAUGGAAGAGUACUAUUUUUAAUCUCUUGUUCCUGAACCAUUUUUUUGCAACUAAAAUAACUGAUGAGAAGUCAGCAUAAUCCUUUCAUAGAUUUUAACAAAAAAGUGUGACAGGCUCAGCAUGGCUAUAAUCUUUUUACCAGGUUUCAAGAUCCACUUACCUCUAGACCUCUGGCCAUUUGCUUAAAAGAGGGUCCUGGCCACCACCAUCACUGCCUCAUUUCCUAAUAUCAUCUGCUGUUUUAGCCUCUCCCAAAAUGAGGGCCAGCCUGUGACACAGCUUCACCUCAGUCAUCAUGCAAGGAGUUGGAACAGGUCCAGCAUGCAGGCUCAACUUGACCUGCAGAAAUUUCUCCAUCACUUCUGGACUCAAGUAAAGAACCACUGAGGUGUGGGACCAGGCUUUGCUAGCAUCUGCUAGGAAGAGCACAACAGCAUCAGCCAGACACGUGGCCAUUAUAAUAUCUCCAUGGGACAAAUUUAUUAAUUAGAGGUAAGAAACAGGAUGAAUCUUCUACAUGUCUGAUAGAUCUCUCCAAGCUGAAGAAGUUCUGUAGGGCCUGCACGGAGACAUCCAACAUGGUGGAGUAGCAGCUGUGUUAACAUGUGAAGCUGUGGUCAGCUUGGUAAAACAUUUCCUGGCUUUGCUUUACCUUCAUUCUCUACAUCACUUAAUUUUCCCCCUAACUCUUUUUGAUCAAGAAUAAUACCCCCCAAUAUUUAGCAUGAAAGCUUUGUUUUAGGCACUGUGUCUAGGGAUAUGAGGUAAAGUUAACAUCAAAGGUUGUAUACCAUAAGUCAAAGGAGUUGGAGGAGUGGGUAGAGCAUAGAUGAUAGAUGUCAAGAAUGUUAAAUAUAGCAGAAAGUUAGGGAUGAGUAGCAACAGGACAUUGAAUAGGUUGAUUAGGAAUUCUUGAGUGACAUUUCAGAAUGCUGUUUUAGUGCACUAGAUAUCAAAGGAAGAAGGGAUUCGGUAUUAACCUAAAUUGCUUGUGAUUUUUAUAAAAAUCCCACAUUAUAUUAUUCAGGAAAACCAUUUCCACUGUAUUGCUCUUUCUUAAAUAGUAGAAAAUCGUAUUUUUUUCAUGAAAGUGAGACUUGCCAAAUUUGAAAAUGUAUAUAUGUAACUAGCUCAUCUACAGAUUAAUAUUUAGGAUUUCAUCAAAAGUAGAGAAACAAGGUUAAAUCACAUAUUUAUUUAAUAAGUAACACAUUUCUUGAUUCCCAAAAAAAAGACUAACAGAAGUUUAAUCAUUAUUCAAGUUUUAUUCAAAAUGUUUAAUAUUAAAUUAAAUCACUUUAAAAAAAAAUCAUUGAAAAUAAUGUCAUCGGCACAUAAUAAGAAGCAUGUUACUGCUCCUCUGAUGCAUGUUAAGGGUAGAACCAGUGAUGGUAGUAGCCAGUGCACAUGUAUCUGAGAGACUGACAUGUGAUGUAUAGUCUUUUCCACACAGUGCACAUGAGUUUGCAGCUGCAGCUGUUAUUUGCAGAGCCUGGCACUAUUUAUGCCUCUGCCUCAUGUUCUCUUCAGAGUCCUUGUUCUCAAACAGUCCCCAUCACUGAUUGCCAAAUGCCAGGUUGAACUGUCUGCUAUGCUGUUUUUUCCCAGCCACUCACAUCUCUAUCCUGUCUUUGAAGUUGUCCUUCAAUGUGCCUUGAACAAAUUCUCCCUUUAACCUCUUUUCUGUCAUGACACUUCAACUCAUCAUGUGACAGUUACCAGGUUAUCGUGAUAUCAUCUGUCCCCUGCACUUGUCCUGCCCACAUGCUUGGGCUAAAUGCAUCUUAUUUAAUAUUUAAUAUGGAAUAGCUGCUGUUUUUCUUCACAUAUAUUACUUUAUACUGUACAAAGUACUUUCAGGUAUAUUAUUAUCAUUAUUUUUUGUUUGUUUCUCACAAAUUUGUUAUACUAAGAGGGAACGUUAAGCUUUCUAACAUAUAUUAAAUAUGCAGCCAGACACUGUGGUAGGUAAUAUCUGUGUAGUAUGAUAUCACAUUAAAUUUAGUUUUCUCAAUAUAUUAUCUGCAACUUAACUAGUAAGGAGCCAAAAGAAUAAUGAGACUUACCUAAGUACAUGAAGGAAGGUGCUAGAACCCAGAUAUUUUGCCACAAACUUUGCUUGUCCACUACUCCAGCUUACCUUCUAUGUCCUGCAGGUGACUGCUUUAACAAGACAGCUAUAAAACCUGUAUCACUGAGUUCCAUAACAAUUGCAUGCCUUGUCUGUUGUAUUUAUUGACAAUACAUAAUUGUUAUCUGGGGAUAAAACUGUGUCCUUCUUUGAGUUUCAGAGUAUAGCGUAGUUAUCUUUUAUCUGUAGCACUCAUAAUGUACACAAUAAAUAUUUGGUGAGUAAAUUAAAACAUGACUAUGACACCUAGGACAAUACUUAGUAACAAUCUACAUCCUUUAUUUAGAAAGGUAACUUAAAGCUGCAUUCACAAUACAAUUUUUUUUAAAGACUAUAUUGAUCUCUAUUAGUAUGAGUUGAAUCAGGACACAGAAACCACCCAGUUAAGUUGAGAAGGGAAGGUGUACUGUGAAAAAUUAUUGACUAUAACAGGUGAUUGAAGUAAUGGCAUAUUCACUAGUAAGAAGGGAAAAAUCUAAGAACAUAGGAAGAACAAAUUAUAAGAGAAAGACUUUAUCCCUAGAAAGAGGCCCCUCCACACCCUGCCCAGGGCUCAGAUCAAGACCUUCCUGUAGAGGGCACAGUCUUGGCUCACUGGUGACAGAAAAGGCUUGUGGUGCCACUCCAACAGGACUAGCUGGAAAUCUGCCCUCUGGAACAUAUAGGAGAUCAGCCCUCUAGGAUACUGGUAAACAUAUUCACAGGGAAAUAUCUCACAAGAGGCACUCUGCAGCAAAACCUUCUAGAGGUGAUAGGGAAACUUCUGGAACCUGGGUGUCACUGCCUGCCAUGCACUGCUGGAGCUGUGCACUGGGGAAGUGGCAGGGGCCUGAGGCUGAAGACCACUCUCUCACUGUGAGAGUCCAGUGCUGGAACCAAACACUGCAGGGCCUUCCUAGUGCAAAUACCUAAACCAGAAAGCAAACCCUUUCUUCCUUCAUUGUCUCACCAUCGCCUUCUACUGACAAAGCUUAAUUGUGUGUAACUCCAGGGAAAGGAAAUCUGGGGGUAAAAUACCCAGCUGAAACCCAAAUCAGUCAAAGGUAGAAAUAAAGUUUAAAACCUGUUUAUUGCUUACAAAAAGCCAUGUGGUGUCUCUCUCUUUCCUGCCAUGGCACAAGCUAGUGAAUCCUUCUCCCAACCUCUCAGGUCCAGAUAAGCCCUCAGUGGCCCAGGUAAAUACCCAUUGAUAUGGAGAUGGACUACUUCUCCCCACCCCUUGGAAAUGCCUGUUGAUACGGAGAUGCACUAACUCCAGGAGAGAGAUUCUGGAAAUAUUGCAGUUUUACUCACAAUUGUGCCACCUGGCAAUGGACAAAACGGCCCAAAUCCAUUUUCAUAGAGCAGACAAACAGGGUGAAUUUGGAGCCAAGAUACAAUAAAUUAAUAAUUAGUACUGUCUUCCUUAUAUUUUAAAUUAUAAUCACAUUUUGUUAUGAUUGUACUUUUUACUAUUAAUAAAAGAAUGGUGAGAAAAAACUCUACUCUUAUGUCAGUCAAUAGAGUUUAUUCAAUAAAAUGAUAAAAAUGAAAAUUUAUACGAUUUGGAUUCAAGAAAACUUAGGUUUUUGACUACUAAGUGCUGGGUCUUUGACUUUAAACCAAUUAACCUCAUUGAAUCACAAAGCAUUUUUAUAAUGAAUAACAAUUUCUUCAUAGUUUGUGGAGAGAUUAAAAUUGAAUAAUCCUCAUAAAAUCCAUAUGUAAUCGAUAACACAUAAU